AAUUCUUACUACACAUAUAAAGACACAGCUAAUGCAGCACUUAGAGGAAAAUUUAUAGCCUUAUGUAUGUUACAUAAAUAUAAUAAAUGUAAAUUAUAUACACAUGAACAAUUUACCUAUAAAAUAUUUACCAUUAAACAUUUACUCAAAAAAUUAGAAAACAAUAACAAAAUAAUCUGAGAGACAAAUAACAAAAUUAAUAAAGACAAAAGCAAACAAAGAAUGAAUAGAAAAAAUAUUAGAAUUCAACCAAAAGCUAUAUACUGGAAGAAAAAGAAAAACCUAACUCAAGAAUAUAUCUGGCUGUACAUUACUAUCAUCUGAAGAAAUUUUUAAAAUAAAUUGUUUAAAAUAUAGGUGUUUGAUCUCUACUCCAGAAAUUCUAACUUGACUAUGGUACAAGGCAGGAUCCAGGUAUUGAAAAAUAUAUAACUGUCUCUCCCAGAUGAUUUUCAUGUGCAACCUGGGAUGAGAACCAAUGAAAUAAAACAAUUUGAAAAAUACAUCCAGCUUGCAAAUACUUAAAAUAAGAAAUAUUGGUAGAAAAUAACCAAAGAAAAUUAACACUUUAUUGUUGUUUCUAAAACAGAUGGGGGUCUGUCCAAUUCAUUUUUUGAAGCUAGUAUAAACUUGACUCUAGUAACCAUGAAGGAUGGUGUGCACAUGUGCGUGCGUGCGUGCAUGCACAUGUGUGAUAUGUAUACACAACCACGGGCCUAGAACAUAGGUUUCAAAGUAAAGUAUAAAAUUUUAUGUAACUGAAUCUAUGGCCAAUUUAAAGAAAUAAAUCCUCAUUUAGAUGGUUUUAUCCUCGGAAUCUAAGCCCAGUUCAACAGUGGAAAAUUCUAUCAAAUCAAUCACAUAAGCAGAUCAAAAAGGAAUCAGUGUGUCCUUGUCUAAAAAAUUAUAGCAAAGUCAUUUGAUAAAUUUCAAUAUCUAUAAUCAUAAUAAAAAUAGAAUUUUCUGAAGUUGAAAAAGUUUUCACACCUCCAUUUUCUCUCACAUUCAUUUCUUUUGUUAGCAUUCCUUCUUCUCGUUGUUUACCAAAUAUUAUUUUAGAUUUCAAGAUUUAACUCAAGCUUUGGUUUUCUGAGAAUCCUUUCUGCUGAAGUUUUAUGUAAUAUGCACCUCUGGGAUUAUUAUCUACUCAUUAUAUUAUUUUGCUGCUCUGAACAUGAUAAUGGGGACCUAAUUGUAUGUGGAUUUAUAUAAACAGUCUAUACUACAUAAUUCUUAAGACAUAUAAUUGCCCACCACUGGAUAUCUGAUUUUGCACGUUAGCCUGUAGGGGGCUGAGAAAAGAUAAUAAAUAGUGCUCCUUUGACAAUCUCUAAAAUCACACUGACUUGGUGUGUGACAAGCUAGAAACUCUAGUGAUUACUGGUCAUGAACUUUGUUCAUUGGUUUUCAUCCCAGGCUGCACAUGGACUUUGUCCUCUGUUUUACUUAUUUAGCUCUUCACAUAGAAACCAGCUUGUUCUGUCUAUGGUGCAGAUCUGACUAGGUCAUGUCCAUGAGUAAAACUCUUCGGUGGUCACCAAAGCUGCAGAUUAAAAUCUGUGCCUCGCAAAAGGUACUGUGAGUCUGAAAACUGCCGGGACUAACUCCAUCCACCAACCCUAGGAUGCUGCACCUGAGCCCUUCCUACAGAAAGCAUCUGUUCUCAUCAAAGCCACCUGCCUGCCUGCUAGAAAUCUCAGUGGCACUCUUCCAUCACCGGCCUCCAGAGAUGCAGUUUUGCCUCCAGAGCAGAGAGCAUCUGUGUGCAGCAGAGGAUCAGCCUGUGUUCCUGCCCCGGUCAACCAGGAGCGCUUUUGCAGUGACACAGCCCACCCAGGGAGCACCACCAGUGACUGAGGAUCACCUAACAAAUGAGGGAGCUGCUCCAUUCUUAGCUGUUCUUUUCCUCUCCCAAGAAUCUUUCAUUCUUUGGUAACUUCGGGGUGAAACACAGCAGAUUUAAAAUUCCAAACAGCAUUUUGCUCUAGAUGCCCUGCAAUGUGGCUCUGAAUGCAGAAAGCAGUGGAAUAUAUAAGAAGGCUCUUUAUAAACUUAAAAGUUUUAAAGAGAAAGGCCAAAAGUGCUUGCUUGUCCUCCCCUCCUCCCCAUUACUCAUUUGUGUGCAUUUAGAAAUGGGAAAGAAUUUCCACGCCAGCAUCCUAAGCCUCCUUUCUGAGAUUCCUAGGAAGUAUGGAGUCAGUGCCCCUGGGUCAGGCUGUUAAGGAGCUUGUCUUCCAACCUGUCUCAUCUGAAAUUCCACCAUUAGAGCUACCUUUCCUAGGAAGUGUUCUCCUACCUUCUCAAGCAGAUCCUGGGGUUCUUCUAUGUUCCCACAGGCAGUGUGACCAAAUGUACCUUUUUCCAGGUAUUAUCCCAGUUUGGGCAAUCAAAAUCCCACAGGUUAGAAAAUCUCAGACUCCUGGGAAAACUGCGACAGCUGGUCACUAUUGCACUGUGUUCAAAUGUCAGAAUUUACAUUAUUGGAGUAAUCAAGUUGCUUGGUGAGUGCCCUCACUGUGAACCCUUUGAAGAUAGAAAUCAUAUAAACUUGAAGACAUUAGUUGUUGAAAAAAUGAAGGAAAAUUUUAUAGAAUAAGUGAAUGAAUGAGAUUAAUAAAUCUGAUAAGAUUGCUUAUAGUUUCUCCAGAUUGAUGCAUCAAAUAUAAUAAAAUGUCUGGAUUACAUGCCUGAAUUUAAUGGCUAGAAAUGAUCCUGAAAUUGUUUUUGAGAACAAUGAGUAUUAAUAAAACAUCCCAGGACAUGAAGUUGCUGAACAUCAUCAAGCAAUGAGAGAUGAGGAUCGAAGUUGAACACAAGCUUUUUUUUUUCAAGACAGGAAAACAAGAAUUGUGGUCUGAAUAUGCUCCCCAAAGUUUAUGUGUUCGGAGGUGGGACAUAGUGGAAGAUGUUUUGAUAAUAAGGACACCAUUCUUGGGAAUAAGUAAAUACUAUUAACUCAGAAGCAUAGUUUGUUUGUUUGUUUUAAUAAAAUGACAAGUUUGUUUCCUCCUGCUCACCCUCUCUCCUCCCAUUUGUCAUGGCUUGGUGUAGCAAGAUGGCAGCUCCUGAAUCUUAGACUUUCAAGCCUCAGGAAUCAUGAGCCUAUAAAUUUCUAUUCAUUGUAAGUUACCCAGUGUGUAGUUUUAUGCUAUAGCAACACAGAACACAAUAAGCCAGCAAGAGAUAAGGGUUUUCUUUUUUUUCCUGGUCCAUCUUUUUUGCAUUGUCAAGUAAACCCAAUGUGUACAAUCUAUGGUGUAAAAAGCUUAUUGGAUAUUCAUAGCUAAAUUCAUUGUAUUACUUUUUCUUUUCAUUCAGUUAAAUGAGUUACAGGGCAAUAUGAUAAGUAACAGAGGUGAGAGCAGGAAGAAAACAAGGUCAACCUGGCAUGUUGGAAGGUGGCAUGAAGGCCUGAUUAGUGAAAGGACCCGAAGCCAGGUGGCCUGGCUUGAACUCUACCCACUUCUACCUUCUCACUUUGUGAACUUGGGUAGGUUAACAUCACUAGUGUUCAAUUGUCUUUUAUGUGAAACAACAAUAGUAAUAAUACUAUAAUGAUAAUACUAUCUAGUAGGGUUACUCUGAAGAUAAAUGAGAUACAACUCUUGGCUCAGCAUUUCACAAAUAAAGUUCUCUAAAAAUGGUGGUGGCAAUAGUAGUAGUUGUUGUUGCUUUUGUUAUUAUUCAGAUUCAUUAGCAUGUAGGAGCCACAGUUCACCUCUUAUUAAAUACUGUGAUGCAAAUGGUAAGUAGGCAAAUAAAAGCAAAAUGCUAUGGGGAAUUUAAGGUAGAAGAAGAGAUAUUAUUUCUAACUAGAAAAAUUUAGGAAGAUGUCUAGGAUAAUGCAAAGAGACACUGAAGUAUUAAUUCAGAACAUAAAACUAGCAGUGAACAUAUGACCUUCCUUUUAUUGUUGAAACAAUCUUAUACCUUUGCAUUCUCAACUGGUAAUCUUGUACAUAUUAAUAAUAUUUAUUGAUUCACUGAUAUCCACAAAACACAUCUAAAAAGUUGAAAUAUAGUCUGCUAAUAGAUCAAUAACCUUAAAUAUUCUUUAGCAAUAUGCAGGGAUCAAAAGAAGGUUUUAUCACCUAUCAACAUUUUAAGCUAUUUUAAUUAAGUCAUAGUCUGGCAUUAUGCAAACAGCUAUAGAAGCCUUCUUUAAUUGCCCAUAUGUAAAUUUAAUAAUAAAGACAAUGAACACUUGUUUGAGGAGUUUCUCAUAAAAUUAACUAAUUAGUCCUCCAUUACACUCCUAUUGAGUUCAAAACAAUUCCUUUUACAGAUCUAAUUAUAAAACCUCAGAUAUGCAAAAACUGCUGCAAUUUCAAAACAGUUCUAUUAGACUAGCAAGAGCCCUAUGACACUGAUAUAAUCCCAACAACUACAAAGUGGUUCAGUUCCAAAUGGGAAUGACUCUGGAGACUGUCUUGCCAAAGAGAGUAGUGCUCCUAAGAACAAUGUCCAUUCACAAUAUAAUAUCCUGAAGUCUUUUAAAUGCCAAUCACCAAGCUGGAGAAGAUGAAUUACAAGCAAUCCCUUUCUUCACAAUGGGGGUAUUUCAUAUCAUGGUGAGCCUGGCAUGAAACAAACCAGAGCAAUUACAUUUCCUCUAAUCAGACCUUUGCCCUUGGGAAACUGGAAAGUCUAUAGUGAAGGGCUGUCAAGAGAAUACGGUUACUACAUUUAAUAUCAUUUAACUUCUAUCAUUAAAAGAAAAAUAAGCCAGACCUUUCUCCUUCAAAUAUCUGCCUCUCAGGGUAAUGCCAUUCUAAACAAACUAGGGCAUCCAUUUUUCUAGAAGAUUGGGUAUAAAAACAAAUAGACAAAUACACUAUUAAUUUUUAUGCAGGAAGCCCAAAAAUAUAUAUGUCCCUCUCUUGGGCUGCACUCCAGACCCUGGAAUUUUGUGUUUACACUAUUCUGAAAAAUUGGUGGGAAGUUUGAAUACUCAAUGUGAUGAUAUUUUCCCAUCACCCAAACCUAAACACAAGUUGUAUGACUUUCUGUUCUGAAUUUGCAUGCCUUUCCCUUGUCUUGCCAGCACUUAGGCAUACACAAAAGCAAAAUCUCCGAUGUAACAAAAGCAGGGCUCACUUUGGUUUUCCCUCCACCCCCAAGUUCCAAACGCUUACAUUUCCUUUACAGCAAAGAGGAUUUUGUCCUUAUGUUCUUCUUUCCCUUGAGGACUCAGAGCUUCACACAGUUGUAUGUAACAGCUGGUGAUACUCUAAGAUUCCCUAAGAGGCAAAAUGCAGAUGGCAAAGAGAACCACCCACGCUUGUCAGUUUGCCCAGACACUAUCCUCAAGGGACAAAAUCUGCACCAGUGAAAUGAGCACAUUUUCAUGCCAACAAUGAACAGGCUGCUAAAAGGCAUGGCGUUCUCCAGAUUCUGCCCCAUCUACCCAGGCUCCACAUUGCACGGAAUCUCAAGCCACCCAGGCAUAGCUCAGAUCAAUGACUGGACCACAGAAGUCAUGUUGACUUUUUUGGGGGUGAUGAAUGACUGUGCAUGUUAAGGAACAAUAGUGGUCAAGGGGUUUGGGUCUCAGGAAGAGGACAGUGUACAGAACACAAACUCACAGAAGGCUCAGACGUGCAUCAUUAUAUUCCUCGCAUGCUUCAUGGUUCCUGCAAUGGGGUUCUGGGAGUCCAAAUAAAUGUUUGAGAAGUGCAUAGAUCAAGGGCUGAAAUGUGUCAGAAUUUUUUUUUUAAUUCAAAGAGGUUGAGGAUCAGGGAAGUUCUAAUAGAAUUAGUUUUCCCACUAUGAUGGUUAGAAUUCUAGCUCCAUCAACUAAACAUCUCAUCUCUUAAGUUAUUUAAACCCUCAAACUCAUGUUUCCUAUACAUCAAAUAGUACAACAUUUACUUCAUAGGAUUGCUAGGAAAACUAAAUUACCCCAAAUGGCAAAUACACAAUAAGUAAUCAAGUGAUUUUCACAAGUAAGCUUCUGAAUAAUUUGAUAUUCCUUAGCAGUAAGCAGAGCAAUUCUGCCUUAUCUGAUUUACAGAGCUCAGGAUGAGAAGGGGAAAAUGAAAAAAAAAAUAUAACCCUUAUCUUCACAAUGAUGAAAAAUCAAUUACACUAAAACAGAGUACAACUAAGAGAUACAUUUCUUUGUUUGCUUUGAUUUUGCCACUCAAUUCUACUAUAUGAUGUUGAGAAAACCAUUCAACCUCUGCCAUCCUCAGUUUUACAGAGUGUAAAUUAUAACCAUAAUUUUUACUCAUACCAUCAUAUAAGUCUAUUUUGAGAUCCACAUGCUUUAAAAAUACUGAAAAACUGUACAAAUACAAGUCACUAUUAGGAACUGAGGUUUUUUCCAAGUUGCUAAAUAGAGUGAAAUUGAUCAGAAAAGUACGUGGCAUGCUGUCAUGGUUCAACCCUAGCUGCUAAGGAUGCCGAGGUAAGAGUGUCAGCAUGUAUGCUGUGAAUAUUCCACCCAACAUGAUAUUCCUUUCCAUCCCCCAACCCUGACGACACCCACUCCUUGAAACUGUUCUGUGAAACUUAACUUGCUUUGUCAUGAUUUUGUUCUCUGCUUUCUGACACUGUUUUUGCUUUCAUUCUUCUUACUGGAGUUUCCUCAGGGAUCGCUUUCAUCUCCACAGGAAUUUCCUAACCUGCACACAUUUCUGGAGGGAUGCAUCAGACAACAAAGUCAACAAGGAAGAAAGAAAAGCAGAGAAAUACAGAAAAGCGAUAUUGAAGAAACUAUAAUGACAACAGAAACACUGAUGGUCAGGACUGAAAGGGACAGAGAUGGGAAAAAAGAAGGAAGAAUGACCUUGAAGAAAGAACCAUGGAUGUCCUGUCUCCUUAGACUGUGAAGGUGCAAUUGCCAUUCUCAAGGGCCAGGAAGGGAAGACUGCCAUCUUUGAAGUUCAAGAGGACAGAGCAUUGAGUGGAAGAGGAUUAGUCUGGGCCUUGAAAUCUUAUGUAAUUUACCCUGACGGGCUUCAGACUUGUUUAUGAUCCGUGACCCCAUUCUCCCUUCCAGUUUUUCCUUUCUAAAGAGGACUUCCUGGCCUAUACUGGUCCUACCAUCAUAUUUUAGAAACAGGUAUAAUCAACAUUGAUGGUGUCUUCCCACAGACUGGGUAACUUGAAAAGAACAGAAAUUUAUUUCUGCAGUUCUGGAGGUUGGAAAGUCUAAGAUCAAGGUGCAGAAAGUUCAGCUGGUGUCUUAUUGAUGCAUCCUUUGAAGAGAAAGAAUGCUUUGUCUUAUUGUGGUACAGGAGGAGAAUAAACUCAUCCCCACAAGCCCUUCCCAUACUGUCAUUGAUCCACGCAAGAGUGCUUUGGCCAAUCAUGAGGCCCCACCUCCCAACACUGUGGCCCAGGAGUUGAGUUUCCAACACAGGAAUUUUGGAGGACAUUUACGUGGUAUGUAGAUAUUGUCUUUGACCUCUGAGAAGAGGGGCCUGGGUCAGACUCAAGUGAGAAAACUGAUUGCUAACUCCACAGAAAUCAUUUUAGCACAAGCAAAACACAAUAAAGGGAAUCAUCACAUUU